AGGACCGGUUCGCCGGGUUUGAAAAGCAGAUGGAGGUGGAGACCCGGUCCAGGAGGGAAACGGAGGAGAGCAAGCUGUCCGGG
rnacentral:SRP_RNA from 1 species